UCGACUUCAAACUUGGUACACAUGUUCCCUAUGAUAUGAUCUUUCUAAUUUUAAUGCCAAAUUAGAGAUUUCACCCCAAUUUCACGGUCCACUGAACAUAGAAAAUGAAAGUGCAUGUUUCAGGUUAAAGUUUUUCAGGUUAAAGUUUUUGGUCAAGGUAGUUUUUGAUGAAGUUGAAGUCCAAUCAACUUGAAACUUAGUACACAUGUUCCUUAUGAUAUGAUCUUUCUAAUUUUAAAGCCAAAUUAAACUUUUGACCCCAAUUUCACGGUCCACUGAACAUAGAAAAUGAAAGUGCAUGUUUCAGGUUAAAGUUUUU
rnacentral:lncRNA from 1 species